AGCGAACUUUUGGGAGCUUGCUCCCAAAAGUUAGCGGCGGACGGGUGAGUAACACGUGGGCAACCUGCCUAUAAGACUGGGAUAACUUCGGGAAACCGGAGCUAAUACCGGAUAACAUAUGAGACCACAUGGUCUCAUAUUAAAAGAUGGCUUUUAGCUAUCACUUAUAGAUGGGCCCGCGGCGCAUUAGCUAGUUGGUGAGGUAAUGGCUCACCAAGGCGACGAUGCGUAGCCGACCUGAGAGGGUGAUCGGCCACACUGGGACUGAGACACGGCCCAGACUCCUACGGGAGGCAGCAGUAGGGAAUCUUCCGCAAUGGACGAAAGUCUGACGGAGCAACGCCGCGUGAGCGAAGAAGGUCUUCGGAUCGUAAAGCUCUGUUGUUAGGGAAGAACAAGUACCGUUCGAAUAGGGCGGUACCUUGACGGUACCUAACCAGAAAGCCACGGCUAACUACGUGCCAGCAGCCGCGGUAAUACGUAGGUGGCAAGCGUUAUCCGGAAUUAUUGGGCGUAAAGCGCGCGCAGGCGGUCCUUUAAGUCUGAUGUGAAAGCCCACGGCUCAACCGUGGAGGGUCAUUGGAAACUGGGGGACUUGAGUGCAGAAGAGGAGAGCGGAAUUCCACGUGUAGCGGUGAAAUGCGUAGAGAUGUGGAGGAACACCAGUGGCGAAGGCGGCUCUCUGGUCUGUAACUGACGCUGA
rnacentral:rRNA from 2 species